AGUAUAGCUCAGGGCAGAGUACUUGCCUAUCAUGCAAGAGGCCUUGGGUUCAAUCCUCAGUACU
rnacentral:tRNA from 1 species